rnacentral:rRNA from 1 species
CCCUUAGAUGUCCGGGGCUGCACGCGCGCUACACUGACUGGCUCAGCGUGUGCCUACCCUACGCCGGCAGGCGCGGGUAACCCGUUGAACCCCAUUCGUGAUGGGGAUCGGGGAUUGCAAUUAUUCCCCAUGAACGAGGAAUUCCCAGUAAGUGCGGGUCAUAAGCUUGCGUUGAUUAAGUCCCUGCCCUUUGUACACACCGCCCGUCGCUACUACCGAUUGGAUGGUUUAGUGAGGCCCUCGGAUCGGCCCCGCCGGGGUCGGCCCACGGCCCUGGCGGAGCGCUGAGAAGACGGUCGAACUUGACUAUCUAGAGGAAGUAAAAGUCGUAACA